rnacentral:lncRNA from 1 species
CCUUCCACGAGGAAGCUGAGCUGGUGUGUAAUGAUAGGGCAGCAGCCGCGGCUGCAGCUAACUGACUGCCCCUGGAGCCGGUGCCACACAGGUGCUCCGAGGAGCAAGAGGAGUAAUUAUAGAGCCAGCGAAGGCUGAAACACACCUCUGAGUUCUCACCUGUGGACACAAUAGUGUAGAGCCAGUCGGUGAUAGCAAAGGGGAAGUCACGACCGAACAGUGAUCAGUCACUUCUUAGAGAAACAAGUUAAAAGGGUUUGUUUUGUUUUGUUUUAUUUUGUCUUGUUUUGUUUUUCCCCCUCUGUUUUCUUUUUCAUCCCCCUCCUCUGGUGUGACACUGCCAUGGUCAGAAAGCCAGUUGUGGCCACCAUCUCCAAAGGAGGUUACCUGCAGGGCAAUAUGAGCGGGAGGCUGCCCUCCAUGGGGGACCAAGAGCCACCUGGGCAGGAGAAGGUAGUUCUGAAAAAGAAGAUCACUUUGCUGAGGGGGGUCUCCAUCAUCAUCGGCACCGUCAUCGGAUCAGGCAUCUUCAUCUCCCCCAAGGGCAUACUCCAGAACACGGGCAGCGUGGGCAUGUCCCUGGUUUUCUGGUCUGCCUGUGGAGUACUGUCACUUUUUGGUGAGUGCGCUUCUUCUCUGGGGUGUGAGUGUGUGUAGCUGUGUGGCUCUCUGGGAGAGCGAAGGGUUAUUUCUGAGGAGUAAAUGAAUGGGCAAAUACUACAGGAAAUAUUUGGAAUUUUUGUUGUUGUUGUUGUUCAGGUAUGUGCACUACCCAAACACACUGUCCACUGUUGGCACAAGACUGAACCCUCUCAGAUUCCUUCCUGCAGGCUAUACUCUGCUUUCCUGCCUGAGACAGACUCUGGCAGCUUUUUUUUUUUUUUUUUCUGGUUUGCUGAGAGAAGG